rnacentral:lncRNA from 1 species
CUAGAUACCAUAUUUAUCCUAAGUGUCCUAAGAUAUAUAUAUCUUAUAUAUAUAUAUAUAUAUAAUUUCAACACUAAUAAGUAUCUGUAUAUCAUUUUAGAUAUUUAUCCCAACUAGAACUUAUUUGAUGCCUAAUAUGAGAAAGGAAUUUAUUCUAUUUUUUUACAGAAGGUUGUUACUUCAAUUCAGUUCAUUAAAUAGUACACCCUUCCUCACAGAUUUUUCUUUUACCAAGUUGACAUGUAUUUCUUUGAAAAACAACUGGCAAUAUUUACCCAGUGAAAAAUUAUCAUAUUCAAUGAUUUGUUAUGAGAAUAUCUCAGGGCCUUCAAUAUCUUUUCUAUUUUCAGAACUGUUUUGGGUAAUGAUGAUAUUAAUUUUAUACUUCUGUAAGAAUUUUAGAACCAAUUUAUCAAGACUCCUCCUCCUAAAAAGCUAUUGGGAUUUUGAUUGUAAUUAUAUUAUCAUUAUAUUUAAAUUUGGGAAAAUUUAAUACUUUCAAUAUUGGGCCUUACUAUUCACAAACAGGAAUAUUUUUUUAUUUAUUCAAACCUUCCUUAAUGAUUUUCAAUAAUAUUUUAUAAUUUGCUCCCUAGAGUUCUUACAGUUAACAAUUUUUAGCAACAAUUUAUUCAGUACUUAACUAAUUUUUGUUUGAUAUAAAAAUAUACAUAAAUAUGCAGAAAUUUUAAUGAAUUAUGUGAUAUUUUUUAAAUAAAGUGUAUAGUACCUUUAUAUAGAGUUAAUGUAAAGACAGAGUGUGCACUCAAAUCAAAUAAAAAAACACCCAAUGGUGGUUUCCUCUAGAGACAGAAACAAACAAACAAACAAAAAACCACAGGAGCUAUGUAAGGAGAGCAUAGAGGAUUUCAGCUUCAUCUGUAAGUUAUUAUUUCUUUGAAACAAGAGAACAAAUGAUCUGAAGUAAAUAUAAAACUUUUUCUUAACUUUUGAAUAGUGGACAUAUGUGUAUUAAUUGUAUCCUUGUAGUUAUACCAUCUUUACAUAUUAUCUUUAUUUAAUUUUCCAUAUAAUUAAAAAAGAAAUACAGCGAUGCAAGACUUUAAAAGAGACACAUAAUAAAAUCAAAUAAGCAAACAAGCCACUAGAAAUAGAAUAUACAGCUAUGUACUAGCCAUUGAUUUAUCCAAGAGGAGUAUUCCCUGGUCAUCAGAGGAAUCCUAAGCAAGUGCUGUACACUGCCAGGUGUCAGCAGAUCUCCAGUCAACCUGAUAAUAGCACCAUACUUCACAGUCUUGUAAAUUUUACACAACUGAUAUUCUUAUAUGCUGGCCUAUGCUUCCUCUCAACCACCUCAAGAGUGAUCUCUAAAACCCUUUACAUUAUAAAGAGAUCCUCCUUUAACCUGAUACUCUUCACAGAAUUCUCCUUUCCUGUCCUUUCCUGAGGCUAAGACCUGACUUUUUUUUUUUUUUUUUUUCCCUCCCUGAAGCUUUCUUAAGGGAAAGAGGAUGUUCAUUCUCCCAUACUUUAUGUAUCUCUGGACAAGGAAAUAAUCUUGUUAGUAUUCUCUUAGUGUUUCAUUGUCACUUUCAAGUAAUUUUUCCUUUAAAAAGAGCAUGAAGGUUAAGUUUAAAGACUUUUGAGAGAUCAGAUUGCCUGAUCCUGAAGUCUGGCUCCACUUUUUCUAUAGUUAUUUGAUCUUGGGAAAUUAGUAAUUCUUUCUGUAUCUCAAUGUCUUUAUUUAAAAAUGAGAGAUUAAAAAAAAAGACUUAACUUCUAGACUUGUGCGAAUUAAAUCAAUUAAUACAUAAAACACAUAGAAAGUGGUUUUUGAAUAAACUAAUUAUAAUUUUUUUCACAUACAUUCAUUACUAUAAUGUUUACUAGAAAAGUCCAAACUAUAUCCUUUAAUUCCCAUUAUUGCUUUUAUGUAUUACCUCUAAUAGUAGCACAAAAUCUCAAAUAUUUCAAUAUUUUUAAAAUAAAAUUCUGAUAUUUCCCUUUAGUUUUCUCUGUGGAGAAUUCUAGUCAUUUAUUUCAUGUAUUCUCUUAUGAGAUGAUUCCAGACAACUUGUAAGCUUAUCUGCUCCAUAUUUUAUAGACGAUUGAUAGUGAUUCCCUCCCAAAUUUUUAAAAGGACAUGCAAAUAUAAAAAUGCUGGCUGGAUGUACGUAAGUGAACUAAGAAAAAAUAUCUCAUAAAAUAACAGUUUAAACUAUAUAGCUACUAAUUUUCAAAUGUAUUGAAUCCAAAAUAAUCAAGACAAAUACAUUUAACAAGAUAUGAGAAAAAGUCAGACCUAGAUGCAUUGCAUUACAGGUGAACACCCCAUGGCUCAAGUGAAUUAAUUUACAUAUUGGUCAACAGGAUAGAAUCUCCUCCCAUGGGAGCUGUAGCAUACUGAACAAUUUUGGUGGUCUCAGAGCCCACUAAAUCAGAAUAAAGACCAAAAAUCAAUGAAAAUAUAAUUAUGGCUCUAGAGAUUUAUAUCUACAAAUUUAUUCUUUACUACAAAUAGCAAAUGCUUUAAUAAAAGUUGAAAAAAAUCUCAUUUAUUAAGAUAAGUAGCUUGGUCUAAAUCUUGAUUGCUCCCCUUUCAAUGGUAUAAUGAAGAUAAAGUACACAUUCAAAUCAUUAUAGAGUUGAAACACUUGCAUAACUUUCCCCAAUUCUUCAAGCAAGAAUUCCAGGCUUAAAACAGCCCUAAUUGGCACUAAUUCCAUGACCAAAACAUGAAAAAUUAAGUUGGGCCAAUGUGAUGUGUUACAUUUGUUUUGUGAAAGUCCAAAUUUGCAGACUGAUGCUCUGAGUUUCUUUGUCAUUGACCACUUUAAUAAAAAGUAAAUUAUCCAACAGUACAAUAGCAGCAUUAGUCUUCAAGUCUUUCAUAAUUUAAAAAUUAACAUUAACACUUCUCAAAGUAUAGUCUAUAGACAUCUAGGUGGCCUCAAUACUGUUUGUUCUAGGUACAUCCAGGAGGAUAAGACAAUUUUCCUAA